UUUCUGAUAAGAUGAAAACCUUAUUUUAAUUAAAGAAUUAUCUGCUAAACAAUAAAGAAAUCAGUUAUGCAAUAGUUGCUAAUAAAAUAGACCAAUGCCAUGGUUUCAGAAAAGAGGUUUGGAUAUGUGAUAUUUACGUUCUGUGCGUUUGACUAAGUGUUCCGGUGAUGGCCUGUCAGCCACGUGUCAGGCUUUUCCGUGCUGCAAUAGGGAAAGAGUCAGGUUCAGUUCAACAGCCUUGAACACAAAGUGCUGUAUAAACUGUGAUCUCCAGGAAGCACCAAGAGGAUACUCGCAAUCUGGAACACGCAGACACGGUCCUGUAGUCGGUGCAGAAGGUCCUUAACAAAUCUGGAACACGCAGAGGAAGGUCCCUUGAAGUGAAGGUUUGCUCUUCUGAGCUUCACCGUGUUGCAGAUGUCUGUGAUUGCCUUUCUGGACGAGAAGCUCAGAACGUGGUGUGAUCCACUUAGACUCUGGACGCAUAGGCCAGUGACUCAGAACUUGUGGUCGAUCUGGUUCAGUCUCUGUUGUCAAACUCAGAACGAGGAGCUGUAAAAUCUCAAAGAGAGAUUCAGAAACUUGGUUGGUUUUCCGAUGAUCUGCUAUUGCCCCUCUCAGUGGGAGACUCAGAAGGUGGGUGCUCUGUUGAGCAAUGGGGGUUGUCUUGUUUCAGUCUCUUAGCACAGGGCCCAAGACUAAGAACAUAGGUGUACUCUGUUAAUGUCUCUCUUUUCGGGGUGAGAGCAAGGAAUGUCUGGUAAAAAGGAACUUUUGUAACAUUUUAGAUAAGGAGGAGUUUGCAUCGUCCAGCCUGGAGGGUCCAGGCUCUGGUGGUGGAGACCACUCGAGCCCGACCUCCCUGGCCAAGCAUAGCCAUCAAUUCUGGGUUAGAUUCGGAUCGCGCCACCUGUCCCGAAGGUGAACUCGCCCUCCGAUGCUGCGAUUGAUAUACGGUCAUCUACGGGAGACUCGAAAGAUAGGGACAGUGUGCCUGUAAGUAGCCAGUCAGCUUCCCUUGGCAUCUCUACUGGCUGCAGCCUCGAGGAGUGAAGGGCCUCGGUGGGUUGUUGCCCAGCCGGGGAAUUCCUCACAGUAAUCCUCAGAUCGGGGCACCCAGAGCCCGACGUGGCUUGCCUCGCAGGGGGCGGCUUUGUCCGAGGCAUCGGAACAGAGUCAAAUUUGAUGUUGGGAGAAUGAAAGGGACAUGUUUUUAUAUUGACCAAAUUAAAUGUGUUAAUGUAUCUUUUGCGCUCUAUGGCAGGCAGGGUGGACAGAUAAUUACUCAACAUGUUUAAUCUGAGUGAUUUCAUAAGUUAUUUACGCCUGCCAGCUGUGUAAAAACGUUGCUUUGUUCCGCUAUUUUGAAUGGAAGUCAAUGGAAGGUCUGGUCUGGUCUGUUUUUCCCCCAAAAAGGGGCGGUGACGAAAUUUACAGUCAAGUUCCCGGAUGUGCCGGUAGUCCGUAUGCGCAGUUUAUUUAUGAAGUGCAACAAGAACCUACACGCGGAUGACAUCAAAGUACUGCGAGAGCGACUUGAAAGAUCAUGGACAGCAUUCUGAUUUCAAAUCACUCUCGCGGUAUUUUAAUGUCAUCCGUUUGUCAGUUCCUGCAAGUCAGCAUUACGUCGAACACCUUGUCAAAAAUGAUUGAGAUGGCCAAUCAAAUCAAAAAAGGCGAGUGCCACUGGCCAAUCACAUAACAGAAGACAAGCUUUCCUGUUAACACAAGCUGAGCGGCGGCCAAUCAAAUUAACCAAUAGGCGGGGUUACCGCCAGGACAGGAGUAACAGUUACGCCGCGUCAAUCAAUCAUAACGGACACACAGAUUUCAAAGGCAGCAUGAUGAAAGAUAACCAGUAUGUAACUUUAAUAUUUAAACUUUUUCAAUCAUAAAAAUUAUUUUUGUUUAAAUGUCUAACAAACGUAUUAAGGGAUGCAAACGUUUACGUGAUUCGUGUGUAACGUAAUGUGUAAAGUUAUAUUGUCUGUGUGACAAUUAUAUUGAUAUUAAAUUAGCUGUUUUCUAUCAGGUUAAGAAUAACUGUAAUCAUAAUGAAGUAAUCGAACUUGGUUAUCUGGUCUUCCUGAUGUUAGACCAUUUAUAUAAAAAAACAUAUUUGAAAAUGUAUUUCUGUAACGUUUAAUUUUCUUUUUUGGUGAAAGCGUGUCUGUGUUCAUCAAGACAUGAAGACUCUGGAGUGGGACAAAAGAAGGAUGAUGGGGUGUAUAUUCCAAUAGACACAUUAAGUGAAAGCUGGGAAAUACAGAGAGCUGGACAGUGGUUUCAUUCAUUAGGUAAAGAGGUGGGACAAGGAUGCUGACAGGACAGGAGGAGGUGACAUUCAGACAUUCAGCGCAGACACUUUCAUGCAAAGCAACUUGAGGAAGAAAACAGAAGCAGUUCAUCCUAAAAGUGGGCUGCUGUAAUGUUUACAUCUAUGGAAAGAGGAGCUGAGAAGAAAAGAGACGCUGGAAAGCAGUACUUCUUGUUGAGGACAAUCCUGAAUAGGAACACUUUCUCAUACACAUAGAUUAUUAUUUUUUUCUUUUUCAUUUUUAUUAAUUGUAAUGUUUUAAUUUUUGUUUUAUUUGAACCUAAGUUAGAUCCAUGCUAAUACUUUAACUGGAACUUGUAUCUUUGCGUGAAGCUGGCUGUAGAGUUGGUUUCACAUACACAUGAAGUUUCUAAUUAACUUAACUAACUUUUAAGUAAUUCAUUUAAAUUUCAAUUCAUGCUAAUAUAUUAAUUUCAAUGAAAACUUCUGUAUUUGUGUAUAGCUUUGGGCAAACUAUGUUUCACACACAAAUGUAACUGUAACAAAGUUUUUUUAUUAUCAGUUUGUUCUAAACUUUUGUUUGUUUACUAAGGAUGAAAUUGCUUUGUAAUUUAAGUUGUUGGUGUUAGAUUCAUGCCAAUAAUGUAUUUGAACAAACUAGU